UGCUGACGAGUGGCGCACGGGUGAGUAAUAUAUAGUUAAUGUGCCUUCAAGACCGGGAUAGCCAUUGGAAACGAUGAUUAAUACUGGAUAUACCUUCUCCUCAUAAGUGGAGUUGGGAAACGUUUUUUCGCUUGAAGAUCAGACUAUAUCCCAUCAGUUAGUUGGUAGUGUAAGAGACUACCAAGGCAAUGACGGGUAGCGGGUUUGAGAGGAUGAUCCGCCACACUGGUACUGAGACACGGACCAGACUCCUACGGGAGGCAGCAGUGAGGAAUAUUGCACAAUGGAGGAAACUCUGAUGCAGCAACGCCGCGUGGAGGAUGACGCAUUUCGGUGUGUAAACUCCUUUUAUAUGUCAAGAAAAUGACGGUAGCAUAUGAAUAAGCACCGGCUAACUCCGUGCCAGCAGCCGCGGUAAUACGGAGGGUGCAAGCGUUACUCGGAAUCACUGGGCG
rnacentral:rRNA from 1 species